GACGAACGCUGGUGGCGUGCCUAAUACAUGCAAGUCGAACGAACUCUGGUAUUGAUUGGUGCUUGCAUCAUGAUUUACAUUUGAGUGAGUGGCGAACUGGUGAGUAACACGUGGGAAACCUGCCCAGAAGCGGGGGAUAACACCUGGAAACAGAUGCUAAUACCGCAUAACAACUUGGACCGCAUGGUCCGAGUUUGAAAGAUGGCUUCGGCUAUCACUUUUGGAUGGUCCCGCGGCGUAUUAGCUAGAUGGUGAGGUAACGGCUCACCAUGGCAAUGAUACGUAGCCGACCUGAGAGGGUAAUCGGCCACAUUGGGACUGAGACACGGCCCAAACUCCUACGGGAGGCAGCAGUAGGGAAUCUUCCACAAUGGACGAAAGUCUGAUGGAGCAACGCCGCGUGAGUGAAGAAGGGUUUCGGCUCGUAAAACUCUGUUGUUAAAGAAGAACAUAUCUGAGAGUAACUGUUCAGGUAUUGACGGUAUUUAACCAGAAAGCCACGGCUAACUACGUGCCAGCAGCCGCGGUAAUACGUAGGUGGCAAGCGUUGUCCGGAUUUAUUGGGCGUAAAGCGAGCGCAGGCGGUUUUUUAAGUCUGAUGUGAAAGCCUUCGGCUCAACCGAAGAAGUGCAUCGGAAACUGGGAAACUUGAGUGCAGAAGAGGACAGUGGAACUCCAUGUGUAGCGGUGAAAUGCGUAGAUAUAUGGAAGAACACCAGUGGCGAAGGCGGCUGUCUGGUCUGUAACUGACGCUGAGGCUCGAAAGUAUGGGUAGCAAACAGGAUUAGAUACCCUGGUAGUCCAUACCGUAAACGAUGAAUGCUAAGUGUUGGAGGGUUUCCGCCCUUCAGUGCUGCAGCUAACGCAUUAAGCAUUCCGCCUGGGGAGUACGGCCGCAAGGCUGAAACUCAAAGGAAUUGACGGGGGCCCGCACAAGCGGUGGAGCAUGUGGUUUAAUUCGAAGCUACGCGAAGAACCUUACCAGGUCUUGACAUACUAUGCAAAUCUAAGAGAUUAGACGUUCCCUUCGGGGACAUGGAUACAGGUGGUGCAUGGUUGUCGUCAGCUCGUGUCGUGAGAUGUUGGGUUAAGUCCCGCAACGAGCGCAACCCUUAUUAUCAGUUGCCAGCAUUAAGUUGGGCACUCUGGUGAGACUGCCGGUGACAAACCGGAGGAAGGUGGGGAUGACGUCAAAUCAUCAUGCCCCUUAUGACCUGGGCUACACACGUGCUACAAUGGAUGGUACAACGAGUUGCGAACUCGCGAGAGUAAGCUAAUCUCUUAAAGCCAUUCUCAGUUCGGAUUGUAGGCUGCAACUCGCCUACAUGAAGUCGGAAUCGCUAGUAAUCGCGGAUCAGCAUGCCGCGGUGAAUACGUUCCCGGGCCUUGUACACACCGCCCGUCACACCAUGAGAGUUUGUAACACCCAAAGUCGGUGGGGUAACCUUUUAGGAACCAGCCGCCUAAGGUGGGACAGAUGAUUAGGGUG
rnacentral:rRNA from 1 species